CCUCGGCGGUCGCGGCUACACACCCGCCUGCCAGCUGACCCACAUAAGAGCGUUACAGCAAUUUUUCUAGGUGACUGUUUAAAUCGCCAUUGCCAAGAUGAUGACCUUCCGUGUUGUGUUGAUGGCCAUCGUGGUGGUUGUCACUCUCACCAGCGCGACUCACGCCCUGCCUAUGAUGUUCAGCCCGACAGUGUCUCGGCCAAGCCCAUGCUCCAUCGUCUCCAACUUGCUGGAUGCUGAUGUGGCCAGUCUCCUCGAGGGGGACAUCUAUCUCGCAGAGUCAUUCUGUGUUUGAGCUGGAGUUGAAACAGAACUCAUGAAGGUUAAUGAUUCAACUCUUUUUAUCAUGCAGGGAGAGUUGCUUAGUUCGAAACAGAUAGGCUAUGUUGCCUGACUCACUCGAACAGUUACUAACUGGGAGAAAAAUCUGAUGGAUUGUCUCCAGCGUAACUUUAUUCAGCAGUGGGUGGCGGAAUGAAGAUGCCGAAGCCGUGAGAAGUCGCUGCGUAUGAGUCUCAUGACUGGCAUCUGCAAGAAUUACAUGAACGCUGUAGAGCUGCCAAAAGUGUUGCCGCAGUUUGUCAGCUGACAGUGUUUGUAAGAUCAUCAAUGCAUUAAUUGUUGCAUACAUUGGAUAUACAUAAUUAUAAUCGUAUAUCCUGACUGAUUAUAAAGAAUAUAAAAAGUGCUAGAUAAAUGUAAUUCAAAUGA